AAGCUCUUUCCAAGUAUCCUUGCCUAUCCAAGAUGGGCGUUUGAGCUUGUUCCUCACUUCCAUGUACAUCUCAGAAAGACGCCUUGAGCCUUUGGAUUCAAAGAUUUCUUAAUCUGAUAAUCAUGCUGAUGCAACCAAGCAAAAAAACUCUACAAUAUUACAUUUUGAAAAAAUUAGACUAUAUAUUCAUUAAUAUUCACUAUAAAUAUACUAGCAAGGGAAGAAGCAAACAAACCAGCCCAUAAAUAUACUAGCGCAUAGGGUUGCUGAUAUACUAGCACAUAAAUAUCUUAAAUUCUCAUAAUUACAAACUAAACAUAUCUAUUUUAGGGAGAAGAUAUGGCUGCUAGGUAAGCUGGCUGCAUAGGUGGGAGACUUUUUUGUUUUGAAAAGGAUAAGAGAAUUAAAUUAAUAGGAGUAAGAUAUGCCAAAAACAAGGAUACAAGAUUAGAAUAUCCCCAUUGUCAAAACAAGAGGCAUGAAACUCCCAAUUACUCAAAGAAUACACCAGAAUACGUUAAAACAAUGAGGAUAGAGAAAAACUAGUAUCAUGUCUAAGAUAUCAAUAAAACAAAGUCUAUGAAGCCCCAUGGCAGCACCUAAACUGAAUAGCAGAUUGAACACACAAGGAGGCACAAUUCGGACCAGAGCUGCACCAAAACUAUGACUACACCAGGAACUUCAAUGAAAAUCUUCUAGAUGAUGGAUAUCUGUCACCUAUUGAAUUUACUCUCAGCCAACUCCACUAGAUUAGAUUAUUAAAACUUCACAAUCAAUGCCAGCUGCUCCUAUUCUUCAAUUAUCAAGACACAAUGGAUGUUCAUAGGUGGGAGACUUGAGAAUGAUUUUCAAUUAUCAGAGUUUAUCUAUUUACUUUCUUACUCCCAAGGGAGCCAUCCUCUCUAAAAAAUUCUUACUUCUGUCAUUUUUAGGUGUUGAGUUUAUCAAAUAAAAUAUUGAGGUAUCAUAAAAUAUUUUUAUACAUUCAUCUGACAAUCAUGACAAAUACGUAUUAAAGUAACAACAAUGUUACUUUCAAGUCCAAACUCAUUCACAAUUCCAGCAACAUAAAGAAUUGUGAAGUAGAAACAAUUCAAUAAAUGUGAACUACUAUCAUAGCUUUUUUCCCUCUCUUUGACCACAUUCUCAUCACCUGAUAUAAGCAAAUAUUGUGAUAACACAUUCAAAUCUCAAUUAGCAACAAGCAAACGAAUAUUUUAGCAUAUGUUAGCUAGGUAGAAAAAAUACAAACUCAAUUCCAAAUCUUCCUUGCUGAUAUCACAAUAGAAAGAAAAUAGGUUCAGAAUAGGAUCACAAAGGAGAUCUAGAAAAUAGGUUCAGAAUAGAAACCUCAUCAACAUUAAGAUCAACCAAAAGCACUUUUCAAGUUGUCAGUACAUAAGCAAAAGACCGAUCAAUAAACGCACAAUCCUUGCACACAGAAGAUGAAAUGCAUUGACAAGUAAAGGAAACAACUCAUCAUUCAAAAAGGAGAUCUACAAAAUUGGACCUAAGCAAUGUAACGACAAAAUUGAAUAACAAAAUUCUCAAAUUCAGAUCUUCUUUAAAAACGUGAAAGUUUAGGCCACUAAGAUAGAGUUUUAAUAUCUUCACAAUAGAAAGAAAAAACACUGAAACAAAAAUAGAUACAGAAGGCAAAGAUACACAAGUCUCUAAAUAAAUAGAUACAGAAAGUGACGACCAAAUUAAAAUAACUAAACAAAAACCAAAAUCACCAAACCACCCCCAACAAGGACACAAACCACACCAGUGCGGAACUAUAAACCAAACUGCAAAACUACCAACAACACAGCAGAAUUACAACAAAAAUUGUCCCUAAGAAGCAUAAAACAAUCUAUAAAAAACACCAGCAGAGUAGCAGAAACCACACAACAGAGGAACACAGUGAAACAAUUCCAACAACGAUUUGAAAACAUGCUCAAAGGGAAGGAGGAAGAAGGGGAAAACAAACCUGAACGUGUAACAUGACGGCAACGAUUUCUAUAGUUGGAACGAUAAUGAAAGAAAAAUUUAGGGAUUUGAGGUGAAGAGAUUGAAGAGAACAGGACGAAAACGAUUUCUCUUUGGAGACAUCGAUGAAGAUGUUGGAGAGAACGAGAUUGAGAGAGUAAUUUAGGGAUUCGAGGCGAAGAGAUCGAAGAAGACAACAAAGAUCGUGGUUUUGGGAUUUAGAGAUUUAGUGUGAGUUUUUUGAUAAACCGUGUUAG
rnacentral:lncRNA from 1 species